rnacentral:rRNA from 1 species
GUGCAAUGGCAUAAGCCAGCUUGACUGCGAGCGUGACGGCGCGAGCAGGUGCGAAAGCAGGUCAUAGUGAUCCGGUGGUUCUGAAUGGAAGGGCCAUCGCUCAACGGAUAAAAGGUACUCCGGGGAUAACAGGCUGAUACCGCCCAAGAGUUCAUAUCGACGGCGGUGUUUGGCACCUCGAUGUCGGCUCAUCACAUCCUGGGGCUGAAGUAGGUCCCAAGGGUAUGGCUGUUCGCCAUUUAAAGUGGUACGCGAGCUGGGUUUAGAACGUCGUGAGACAGUUCGGUCCCUAUCUGCCGUGGGCGCUGGAGAACUGAGGGGGGCUGCUCCUAGUACGAGAGGACCGGAGUGGACGCAUCACUGGUGUUCGGGUUGUCAUGCCAAUGGCACUGCCCGGUAGCUAAAUGCGGAAGAGAUAAGUGCUGAAAGCAUCUAAGCACGAAACUUGCCCCGAGAUGAGUUCUCCCUGAGACUUAGAGUCUCCUGAAGGAACGUUGAAGACGACGACG